GCGAAGAACCUUACCAAGGCUUGACAUAUACAGGAAUACGGCAGAGAUGUCGUAGCGGUUAAACGUCUGUAUACAGGUGGUGCAUGGUUGUCGUCAGCUCGUGUCGUGAGAUGUUGGGUUAAGUCCCGCAACGAGCGCAACCCUCGUUCUGUGUUGCCAGCAUUUAGUUGGGGACUCACAGGAGACUGCCGGGGUUAACUCGGAGGAAGGUGGGGAUGACGUCAAAUCAUCAUGCCCCUUAUGUCUUGGGCUGCACGCAUGCUACAAUGGCUGGUACAAAGGGCUGCAAUACUGCAAAGUGGAGCGAAUCCCAAAAAGCCAGUCUCAGUUCGGAUUGGGGUCUGCAACUCGACCCCAUGAAGUCGGAGUUGCUAGUAAUCGUAGAUCAGCAACGCUACGGUGAAUACGUUCCCGGGGCUGUACACACCGCCCGUCACAUCACGAAAGUCGGUAACACCC
rnacentral:rRNA from 1 species